AUUGAACGCUGGCGGCAGGCUUAACACAUGCAAGUCGAGCGGGGUGAUGGUGCUUGCACUAUCACUUAGCGGCGGACGGGUGAGUAAUGCUUAGGAAUCUGCCUAUUAGUGGGGGACAACAUCUUGAAAGGGAUGCUAAUACCGCAUACGUCCUACGGGAGAGAGCAGGGGAUCACUUGUGACCUUGCGCUAAUAGAUGAGCCUAUGUCGGAUUAGCUAGUUGGUGGGGUAAAGGCCUACCAAGGCGACGAUCUGUAGCGGGUCUGAGAGGAUGAUCCGCCACACUGGGACUGAGACACGGCCCAGACUCCUACGGGAGGCAGCAGUGGGGAAUAUUGGACAAUGGGGGGAACCCUGAUCUAGCCAUGCCGCGUGUGUGAAGAAGGCCUUAUGGUUGUAAAGCACUUUAAGCGAGGAGGAGGCUCUUUUGGUUAAUACCCAAGAUGAGUGGACGUUACUCGCAGAAUAAGCACCGGCUAACUCUGUGCCAGCAGCCGCCGUAA
rnacentral:rRNA from 1 species